UGUGACCUCAAAUCAGGUAGGACUACCCGCUGAACUUAAGCAUAUCAAAUAA
rnacentral:rRNA from 1 species